ACAGCAGUCGCCACGGUAAUACAGAGGGUGCGAGCGUUAAUCGGAUUUACUGGGCGUAAAGCGUGCGUAGGCGGCUUCUUAAGUCGGAUGUGAAAUCCCUGAGCUUAACUUAGGAAUUGCAUUCGAUACUGGGAAGCUAGAGUAUGGGAGAGGAUGGUAGAAUUCCAGGUGUAGCGGUGAAAUGCGUAGAGAUCUGGAGUAAUACCGAUGGCGAAGGCAGCCAUCUGGCCUAAUACUGACGCUGAGGUACGAAAGCAUGGGGAGCAAACAGGAUUAGAUACCCCUGUAGUCCCUGUCUCUUAUAA
rnacentral:rRNA from 1 species